ACGGGAGGCAGCAGUGAGGAAUAUUGGUCAAUGGACGGAAGUCUGAACCAGCCAUGCCGCGUGAAGGAAGAAUGCCCUAUGGGUUGUAAACUUCUUUUGCUUGGGAGUAAUAAGCGGGAUGCGUCCCGUGAUGAGAGUACCAGGCGAAUAAGCAUCGGCUAACUCCGUGCCAGCAGCCGCGGUAAUACGGAGGAUGCAAGCGUUAUCCGGAUUUAUUGGGUUUAAAGGGUGCGUAGGCGGACGAUUAAGUCAGCGGUGAAAUAUGUCGGCUCAACCGGCAGGCUGCCGUUGAUACUGGUUGUCUUGAGUCCAAACGGCGCCGGCGGAAUAUGUAAUGUAGCGGUGAAAUGCAUAGAUAUUACAUAGAACACCGAUCGCGAAGGCAGCUGGCGAGGAUGGAACUGACGCUGAGGCACGAAGGCGUGGGGAUCAAACAGGAUUAGAUACCCUGGUA
rnacentral:rRNA from 1 species